CCUACGGUGGGCUGCAGUGGGGAAUAUUGGACAAUGGGCGAAAGCCUGAUCCAGCCAUGCCGCGUGUGUGAAGAAGGCCUUCGGGUUGUAAAGCACUUUCAGUUGGGAGGAAAGGCUUUAAGCUAAUACCCUCGUGGUAGGACAUCACCCACAGAAGAAGCACCGGCUAACUCCGUGCCAGCAGCCGCGGUAAUACGGAGGGUGCGAGCGUUAAUCGGAAUUACUGGGCGUAAAGCGCGCGUAGGCGGUCUGAUAAGCCGGUUGUGAAAGCCCCGGGCUCAACCUGGGAACGGCAUCCGGAACUGUCAGGCUAGAGUGCAGGAGAGGAAGGUAGAAUUCCCGGUGUAGCGGUGAAAUGCGUAGAGAUCGGGAGGAAUACCAGUGGCGAAGGCGGCCUUCUGGACUGACACUGACGCUGAGGUGCGAAAGCGUGGGUAGCAAACAGGAUUAGAUACCCCUGUAGUC
rnacentral:rRNA from 1 species